ensembl:lncRNA UXT-AS1 UXT antisense RNA 1
GGGACACCCAAGCGCGGCCUUUACCUCAGGCCGCCAGCAAUAAGAACGGUUGGUAGGAACCGCGGCUUCCGGGUGGCGCGGGUGAAUGACAAGGAGUCGCUCCCCAUAGCCACCACAACUGGGAAUGUGCUGGGUCACACCUGAUGCCAACAUGGCUCUGAAUCUCAUCCAACGCCCAUGGAUCUCAUCCAGGAUGCCACAUUACAUUUAGUUGUCACAUCUCUUCGGUCUCCACAAUCUCCUUUAGACUGUGACAAUUGCUUAUACUUUUCUUGUUUUUGAUGACCUUGAAAAUUUUGAGGAGUACUGGUCAGGUGUUUGAUGGAAUAUUCUUCAAUUUAGAUUUGUCUGCUAUUUCCCUCAUUACUGGACUGGGGCUUUGGAUUUUGGGAAGAAUACCACAGAAGUGAAGUACCCUUCUCAUCACUUCACAUCAGGGGUACAUGCCAUCAACAUGACUUAGCACUGACAAUAUUAACCCUGAUCAUCUGGCAGGCAUUUGCCAGAUUUCUCCACUGAACGUUCCUUGUUCUCCCUUUUUCAUACUUUGCUCCUUGGAAGCAAGUCACUAAGCACACACAUAUCUGGGGGAGGAGUGGGAGGUUAACUACCACCUCCUGGAAGGGUGGUUAUCUAUUUACACAAGUUAUUUGGAAUUUUCCAAAGGAUUUGUCUCAUCUCUCCUGUUUAUUAAUUUAUUCAAUCUUGUGUUUACAACAGCACGGACUCAUGGACAUUUAUUUUACUCUGUGGGUUAUAAGCCAGUACUACCACUGUUUAUUUUGUUCCUCAGAUUCCAGCUUUGGCCAUGGGGAGCUCCUUCAUGCUGGUUCCUGCAUCCUUCAGACAUGCCCUGUCCUUCUGUGAGCACUGUCUUACUUUCUGACCCCACAAGAUAUUUCAGGCUCAUCUUGUAGUUUCCCUGCUCCAGUCCUGGACUCAGCCACUUCUCCAAGAACCUCUGAUUCUUUUUCUUAGAGAAUGGUAUUGAGAAGCCAAGAUCUGGGGACUAAGUGUUCAACUUGUGUUCCACUGUUACUUUAAUGUAUCCCUGGAAUCCAAUCAAGAGAUAGAAACCACAUGGUAGUUUAAAUAGAGAAUGUUUAAUAUAACUAUUAACUAUAACAGGAGAUUGGAGAAAUGGGGGAUUGGCUAGUAAGAGGUAAGAAGAACCCUCACUGCUCCCAAAACAAAGGAGGAAUAUCAGAUUUAGGGAGUAGCCAUUGUCCCCAGUGCCUAAGAAAGAGGCCACUCUCCAUCUUUCCACCCCCUCUCAGAACCAGACCUCACUGGAAAGGGCUCCACUGUGACCUACUGGAUGGCAGAGAAGAUUGCUGGGGUGCUUUGGAAAUCUGCCCUCUGUAAUGCAGAAGGAAGCUGUCCAUGGGCAGGAGUCAUGCUUUGGAACUCACAGCAAAGUCACUAGAGGGCUGCCGGGGGAAGCUGUUCAUAGGGAUGUGCCACAUGCUGCUGGCCACUGGGCACUGCUGGCCACCUAGAGAUGCAUUGUGUAAGCCGCAGAUGCUGCAGGAGCCUGAUGAGGGGAGCUCAUGAGAACCAGGAAGAGAAAUCUCUUCCUCUUCCAAAGUCUUUCUAGUGCCCUCUACUGAUAAUUGGAACAUUUAGGUGAAUUCUUCUGUUUCCCAUGUUCUUCAGUGUCACUAUGCUAUUCAUUUUUAAUACAUGUAUGUUCAUUUGUUAGUUUAUAUGCCAUUUAGAGUUUCCCCCACAUCAUAGUCCAUUUUGAAUUUGAUUUUUUUAGGGUAUGUGAAACAGUAUGGUUCCAAGAGAAAAAGCUGCACAAAAGGUCCCUUCAAAGAAGUGCCACUUAUCUCAUCCCUACUAUCCUGUCCCUUUCCCACCAUCCCCUUAUAAGUAAGUAAUCUCUUUAGUUUCUAUUAUAGUUUAUUCACCUGUAUUUCUUUUGCACAAGUGAGCAGGUACAUGUAUGUCUUCUUAUAUCCCUUCUUUCUGUGAAGGAUAGCAUACAGUAGAUAUUCUUUAGAGCUUUGCUUUUUCACUUACAGAUAUGUCCUAGAAAUUUUUCUGUAUUAAUUCAUGAUAUUCCUCUUUUUAACAGUUACCUAGUACUCCAUUGUGUGUAUAUACCUUAGUUUGUUCAACUACUCUCCUAUGUAUAGACAUUUAUAUUUUGUAAUUACAAUGCUGUAAUGAAUAACUUUGUGCAUUGUAUUUUGCUAUUGUUAGAGAUGUAUCUUCAGGAUAUUGUUAAGUAUUCUCCAAUUCCCCUCCAGAAGGACUGUACCAGUUUUCAUUCCCAACAGAAAUAUGCAAGAGUGACUGUUCCCCUACAGCUUCACCAACAUAAUAUCUUAUCAUACUUUUAAUAUUUACCAGUCCAAAAGAUGAGAAAUGAAAUCUCAAUGUUGUUUUAGUGUGCAUUUCUCUAAUUAUAAAUGAGUUUGAACUUUAAAAAUAUGUUUGGUUGAAUAAUAUUCCAUUGUGUGUAUAUAUAUAUAUCACAUUUUCUUGAUCCAUUUGUCCAUUAAUGGACAGGUAGGUUGUUUCCAUAUCUUGGCUAUUGUGAAAAAUGCUACAAUGAACAUGGGAGUGCAGAUAUUUUCACUAGGUGGUGAAAUAUUAUUCAGCCAUAUAAAAGGAGGAGAUCCUGCCAUUUGCCACAACAUAGAUGGACCUGCAGAACAUUAUGCUAAGUGAAAUAAGUUAGAUACAGAAAGAAAAAUAUUGCAUGAUUUCACUUAUGUAUGAAAUCUAACAAACAAAACUUAAAAUAUCCAGAUAUAGAGAAUAAAACAGUGGUUACCAGGUGUAUUAGUCCGUUCUCACACUGCUGUGAAGAAAUGCCUGACUCUGGAUGAUUUAUAAAGGAAAGAGGUUUAAUAGACUCACAGUUCCGCAUUGUUGGGGGGGCCUCAGGAAACUUACAACUGUGGCAGAAGGCAAAGAGAUGCAGGCACCUUCUUCACAGGGAGGCAGGACGGAGUGAGUGCAAACAGGGGAAAUGCCAGAUGCUUAUAAAACCAUCAGGUCUCAUGAGAACUCACUCACUAUCACGAGAACAGCAUGGGGGAAACCGCCCCCAUGAUCCAAUUACCUCCACCUGGUCCCACCCUUGACACAUGGGGAUUAUGGGGAUUACAACUGGAGAUGAGAUUUGGGUGGGGACACGAAGCCUAACCAUAUCACCAGGGAUGGGGUUGGGUGGGGAGGAAAUGGGGAGAUGUAGCUCAAAGACACAAAGAAGCAGAUAUGUGGGAUGAACAAGUCUAGAGAUCUAAUGUACAACAUGAGGACUAUAGGCAAUAAAAUUGUGCUGUAAUAGGGAUUUUUGUUAAAUAAGUAGAUUUUAGUUGCUAUUGUCACUAAGAAGUAACUACGUGAGAUGAUGGAUAUGUUAAUUUGCUUCACUACAGUAACCAUUUUACUAUUUAUAUGUAUCUCAUAACAUCAUGUUGUAAACCUC